AUUGAACGCUGGCGGCAGGCCUAACACAUGCAAGUCGAGCGGAUGAAGGGUGCUUGCUCCUGGAUUCAGCGGCGGACGGGUGAGUAAUGCCUAGGAAUCUGCCUGGUAGUGGGGGAUAACGUCCGGAAACGGGCGCUAAUACCGCAUACGUCCUGAGGGAGAAAGUGGGGGAUCUUCGGAUCUCACGCUAUCAGAUGAGCCUAGGUCGGAUUAGCUAGUUGGUGGGGUAAAGGCCUACCAAGGCGACGAUCCGUAACUGGUCUGAGAGGAUGAUCAGUCACACUGGAACUGAGACACGGUCCAGACUCCUACGGGAGGCAGCAGUGGGGAAUAUUGGACAAUGGGCGAAAGCCUGAUCCAGCCAUGCCGCGUGUGUGAAGAAGGUCUUCGGAUUGUAAAGCACUUUAAGUUGGGAGGAAGGGCAGUAAGUUAAUACCUUGCUGUUUUGACGUUACCAACAGAAUAAGCACCGGCUAACUUCGUG
rnacentral:rRNA from 1 species